UACGGAGGGUGCAAGCGUUAUCCGGAAUCACUGGGUUUAAAGGGUGCGUAGGCGGUGAGGUAAGUCAGUCGUGAAAUUCCAUGGCUUAACCAUAGGGACUGCGAUUGAUACUGCUUUACUUGAAUAAGGAUGAGGUAGGCGGAAUGUGGCAUGUAGCGGUGAAAUGCUUAGAUAUGCCAUAGAACACCAAUUGCGAAGGCAGCUUGCUGGACCUUUAUUGACGCUGAGGCACGAAAGCGUGGGGAGCAAACAGG
rnacentral:rRNA from 1 species